rnacentral:rRNA from 1 species
UACAUAGGGUGCAAGCGUUAAUCGGAAUUACUGGGCGUAAAGCGUGCGCAGGCGGUGCUGUAAGACAGGCGUGAAAUCCCCGGGCUUAACCUGGGAAUGGCGCUUGUGACUGCAAAGCUGGAGUGCGGCAGAGGGGGAUGGAAUUCCGCGUGUAGCAGUGAAAUGCGUAGAUAUGCGGAGGAACACCGAUGGCGAAGGCAAUCCCCUGGGCCUGCACUGACGCUCAUGCACGAAAGCGUGGGGAGCAAACAGG